rnacentral:rRNA from 1 species
AUCUUUAAUUGCCAUCAUUCAGUUGGGCACUUUAGAGAGACUGCCGGUGUUAAACCGGAGGAAGUGGGAUGACGUCAAGUCCUCAUGGCCUUAUGCUUAGGGCUACACACGUGCUACAAUGGGUGGUACAAAGAGAAGCCAACUCGCGAGAGUGCGCAAAUCUCAAAAAGCCAUCCUAAGUUCGGAUUGAAGUCUGCAACUCGACUUCAUGAAGCUGGAAUCGCUAGUAAUCGCGGAUCAGCAUGCCGCGGUGAAUACGUUCCCGGGCCUU